GCUUGCGCCACGAUCCGCUACCGGCGCCGCGCUCCGGCCGCCGCUGCAUCUGACGACUGGAAGUUGUAUCAGAAUUUAGCGCGAGAGUUUGCAUCGUAUGAGGUUCGUGGGGUGGUACCUGAAGAUCGCCGGCGGCGGCGCGGCCAUAGGCGCCGCCAUGGAGCUCUUCAUGAUCCACACCGGCUUCUAUGACAAGUAACUAUGCUGGAGUCAGAGAAAAGAGCUUGGGAGAGCAGCCCAGAGGCCCAAGCCAUGAGAGAAGCCUUGAAUCCAUGGCACAAGAAUGAUGAACCAGAGAGACGAUAGUCACUCAUAUGCUCAUGGGUAAUUGCAUUCUCAUCCUUUCGAUUGUAUGGUAAAUUGGUAACCCCAUUUUAGUGACGUAUUAAUAGGGAUAUCGCAUCUUUGCAAAUGUUUGAAACAUUUUAGUGUUUAUAACUGAACACAAUGCUUAAAAGAGCAUGUUCAUAUUGGGAUACUCCAUAUCAAACCAGCGAAUUUGUUUGUGUGUGACUA